AUUGAACGCUGGCGGCAUGCUUUACACAUGCAAGUCGAACGGCAGCGCGGGCUUCGGCCUGGCGGCGAGUGGCGAACGGGUGAGUAAUGCAUCGGAACGUGCCCAGUAGUGGGGGAUAGCCCGGCGAAAGCCGGAUUAAUACCGCAUACGACCUGAGGGUGAAAGCGGGGGACCGAAAGGCCUCGCGCUAUUGGAGCGGCCGAUGUCGGAUUAGCUAGUUGGUGGGGUAAAGGCUUACCAAGGCGACGAUCCGUAGCUGGUCUGAGAGGACGACCAGCCACACUGGGACUGAGACACGGCCCAGACUCCUACGGGAGGCAGCAGUGGGGAAUUUUGGACAAUGGGGGCAACCCUGAUCCAGCCAUGCCGCGUGCGGGAAGAAGGCCUUCGGGUUGUAAACCGCUUUUGUUCGGGAAGAAAUCCUCUGGGCUAAUACCCCGGGGGGAUGACGGUACCGGAAGAAUAAGCACCGGCUAACUACGUGC
rnacentral:rRNA from 1 species